UGGUGUUAUAAAGUUUUUUAUUUUUUGUUUAGGAAAUUUUUUUAUAAUUUAAUGUAUUAGUAUUUUUUAGAAUAUUUAUUUUAUUUAAGAGGUUACUUUAUUUUGAAAAAUUGAAAUAAUAUUUAUUUUUUAUGGUUAAAAUUUUGCCUUUUGUAUUAUGAUAGUUAGACGGGAAAUAUCUUAAGGAUUAUUUUCGAAUUAAGAAGAUUUAUAUUGGGUUUAUUCUAGUGUGGCAUUAUUAGGAUUAAAUUUUUUAUAGUAAUGAAAAGUUUUCGUUUCUUAUAUUUCUAAUUUUAUUAUUUACAGUUUAGCUGUAGGUUAGUUUUUAGCUUGAUUUUUGGUUUAGUUAGGAGUCAGAGAGUGUUUCUAUGGUUUUAUUUUUUAAUUAGUGUUAAUAAUUUUAUUAUAGUUUGUUAUAAUUAUAUUUAUUUUAUUAAGAUAAAUUGUAUAGUCUCUUAUUAACUAUUUAUAAUUAUUUAGUUUUUGAAUAUUAGUUUAUUAGUAUAUUCUUUUUAUUUGUUAGGAUAGUUAAUUUAUUUUUAUGAAUUCGACAAAAGUUUAAGCUAAAUGUUUAAUAAAAACAUUUUCUCAUGUAUUUUGUGAGAUAUAUUCUGCCCGGUGUAAUUUAACGGCCGCAGGAUUUUUACUGUGCUAAGGUAGCGUAAUCAUUAGCUUUUUAAUAGGAGGCUUGUAUGAAUGAGUGAAUAGUUUAAUAUUUUAUUAAUAUAAUUUUUUGAAAUUUAAUUUAAAGUGAAAAUUCUUUAAUUUUUAUUAAGACGAGAAGACCCUAGAAAGCUUUAUUAUAUUAAAUAAGUUUAUUAAUUAAUUUAACUGGGGCGGUUUUAUAUAGUUUUAAACAUAUUAGUUUUAAAAUUUGAUGAGGUGUUGUUUAGUUACUUUAGGGAUAACAGGGUAAUUUUCUUGGAGAGUUCUUAUCGGUAAGAAAGUUUACUACCUCGAUGUUGGAUUAUUUUUAUACUUAGGCGCAGAAGUUUGAGUGGUGAGUCUGUUAGACUUUUAAAAAAGUACAUGAUCUGAGUUUAAACCGGUGUGAGCCAGGUUGGAUUUUAUCUAGUUUAUUAGUUUUUUAGUACGAAAGGAAUUAAAACUUUAAUUAUUAUUAAUUU
rnacentral:rRNA from 1 species